UACGAAGGGGGCGAGCGUUGUCCGGAUUUAUUGGGCGUAAAGAGCGUGUAGGCGGCCAGACAGGUCUGCUGUGAAAACUCGAGGCUCAACCUCGAGACGCCGGUGGAAACCGUCUGGCUAGAGUCCGGAAGAGGAGAGUGGAAUUCCUGGUGUAGCGGUGAAAUGCGCAGAUAUCAGGAAGAACACCCGUGGCUAAGGCGGCUCUCUAGUACGGUACUGACGCUGAGACGCGAAAGCGUGGGGAGCGAACAGG
rnacentral:rRNA from 1 species